rnacentral:rRNA from 1 species
GAUGAACGCUAGCGGCAGGCUUAAUACAUGCAAGUCGAGGGGUAGCAAGAUUGUAGCAAUACAAUUGUUGACGACCGGCAAACGGGUGCGGAACACGUACACAACCUUCCUACAAGUGGGGAAUAGCCCAGAGAAAUUUGGAUUAAUACCCCGUAACAUAGCGAUGUGGCAUCACAUUGCUAUUAUAGCUUCGGCGCUUGUUGAUGGGUGUGCGGCUGAUUAGAUAGUUGGCGGGGUAACGGCCCACCAAGUCUACGAUCAGUAGCUGAUGUGAGAGCAUGAUCAGCCACAAGGGCACUGAGACGCGGGCCCGACUCCUACGGGAGGCAGCAGUAAGGAAUAUUGGACAAUGGACGCAAGUCUGAUCCAGCCAUGCCGCGUGAAGGAUUAAGGUCCUCUGGAUUGUAAACUUCUUUUAUAAGGGACGAAAAAAGGUCUUUCUAGAUCGUCUGACGGUACCUUAUGAAUAAGCACCGGCUAACUCCGUGCCAGCCGCCGCGGUAAAAC